UACGUAGGGGCAAGCGUUGUCCGGAAUCAUUGGGCGUAAAGCGCGUGUAGGCGGCUGGGUAAGUCCGCUCUGAAAGCCCGGGCUCAACCCCGGGAGGCGGGUGGAUACUGCUCAGCUCGAGUCCGGAAGAGGAGUGUGGAAUUCCUGGUGUAGCGGUGAAAUGCGCAGAUAUCAGGAGGAACACCAAUGGCGAAGGCAGCACUCUGGGACGGUACUGACGCUGAGACGCGAAAGCGUGGGAGCAAACAGG
rnacentral:rRNA from 1 species